rnacentral:rRNA from 1 species
UACGGGGGGGGCAAGCGUUGUUCGGAAUUACUGGGCGUAAAGGGCUCGUAGGCGGCCAACUAAGUCGGAUGUGAAUCCCCAGGCUCAACUUGGGAACUGCAUCCGAUACUGGAUGGCUUGAAUUCGGGAGAGGGAUGCAGAAUUCCAGGUGUAGCGGUGAAAUGCGUAGAUAUCUGGAGGAAUAUCGGUGGCGAAGGCGGCAUCCUGGACCGACAUUGACGCUGAGGAGCGAAAGCUAGGGGAGCAAACGGGG